AGAGGGUUGGCUGAGUGGUCGAAAGCACCGGUCUUGAAAACCGGCGAGGUGAGAGCCUCCGAGGGUUCGAAUCCCUCAUCCUCUGCCA
rnacentral:tRNA from 1 species